GUUUCUAUUAUAACGAAAGUUCCCAAACUGGUUUUUGAAAGAAAGUGCCCCCCCCCCCCCCCUCCCCUGACUUGUCAAUUUGGAACUACUGUUAACAUUUUAAAUACAAUACAUAAAAGGUGGAAGAUAGAAGACACACUAGAACUACACUACAAUAUUCGUCAUUUUUAUCCUAUUUUCGCUUUACUGCCGGCAUUCUGAUACACUGGCGGGCGGAUUAUAUG
ensembl:ncRNA R03A10.14 ncRNA